rnacentral:rRNA from 1 species
UACGUAGGGGGCAAGCGUUGUUCGGAUUCAUUGGGCGUAAAGGGUGCGUAGGUGGCGGGGCAAGUCAGGUGUGAAAUCUCGAGGCUCAACCUCGAAACUGCACUUGAUACUGCCUUGCUCGAGUACUGGAGAGGAGAUUGGAAUUUACGGUGUAGCAGUGAAAUGCGUAGAUAUCGUAAGGAAGACCAGUGGCGAAGGCGAAUCUCUGGACAGUUACUGACACUGAGGCACGAAGGCCAGGGGAGCAAACAGG